GGUAGAGCGGGCGGUCUGGCUUUCGGGCCGGCGGCGGACUGCGUGGCUGUGUGGCAGUGCGCUGGCGCUGCAGGGAGGGAUGCUGUGCCCCUGGGAGAGCCCGUCGCGGGAGCGCAAGGAGCUGGACAGACUCUGGAGCUUCCACGCUGACUUCUCGGACGACCGGCGCCAGCCAGGGCUUCCAGAAGCAGUGGUAGCGGCUGCUGCUGCGUUGAGUUCCUGUUCUGGGCUUCAUUCUGUAUGACCCAUCUCAGCAGGAGGGCCAGGGACCUCAUCCUCUAUGGCACCAAGGAAUUCAGCUUCCUGCAGCUCUCAGAUGCCUACAGGGCCCCUGAGAAUUAUGCUAAAUCUCUUCAGCCUGUGCUCAAUAAAUGGAAGAACAAAGGUUGGAUGACAGCACAUCUGUUUACAGCAUGGCUUACUGACAAUUUUAAGCCCACUGUUAAGACCUACUGCUGAGGAUCCAAGAUGACUGAAUAGGAACAGCUCCAGGAAUGCAGGUCCCAGCAAGAACAAUGCGGAGGGUGAGUGCCCACCACAUUUCUGAAGAAAUUUUCAUUGCCCACAGACCAGGAGAUUCCUGGGCAAAAAGCACCACAAGUUUUCAGCACGGUGGUGUCAGUUGGUGCUGGGUUGGCACACAGAAACUCAAAAAAGUCUGGGUGGCCGUUUCAACUGGUGACUAAUGGUUUCUGUAACUCUAUAUUACAUUUAAAGUCUGGUAAUGUGAUUCCUCCAGUUUUGUUCUUCUUCCUUAGGAUAACUUUGGCUAUUCUGGGUCUUUUGUGGUUUCAUAUACAUUUCAGCAUUGUUUUUUUCUAUUUCAGUGAAGAAUGUUACUGGUAUUUUGAUAGGGAUUGCACUGAAUAUAUUGCUUUAGGUAGUAUGUGUUAACAAUAUUGAUUUUUCCAUUCACAAACAUGGAAAUCUUUCCAUUUUUUUGUGUCAUCUUCAGUUUCUUUCAUUAGUGGUUUAUAUUUUUCAUUGUAGAUAUAUUUUUCACUUCUUUGGUUAAGUUAAUUUUGAGGUACUUUAUUGGUGGCUACUGAAAAUAGGAUUACUUUCUUGAUUUCUUUUUCAGAUUGUUUGCUGUUGGCAUAUAGAAAUGCUUCUGAUUUUCGUAUGUUGAUUUUGUAUCCUGCAACUUUACUGAAUUUAUUGAUAAGUUCUAUUAGUUUUCUGGCAAAGUCUAGGUUAUUCCCAGUAUAAGAUCAUGUUAUUUGCAAACAAGGAUACUUUGGCUUUAUCCUUUCCAACUUGGAUGCCCUUUAUUCAUUUCUCUUCUGUGACUGCUCCAGCUGGAUCUUCCAGUACCAUGUUGAAUAACAGUGGUGAAAGAUAAGCAGCCUUGUCAUGUUCCAGAUCUUAAAGGAAAGACUUUCAGUUUUUCCCCAUUCAGUAUGAUGCUAGCUGUGGAUUUGUUGUAUAUGGCUUUUAUUUUGUUUGAAGUGUGUUUAUUCUAUAUCCAGUUCUUGAGGGUUUU